GAGGGUAGAGCUCAGUAGUAGAGUGUGUGGUUAGCAUGCAUGAGGUCCUGGGUUCAGUCCCCAGUACGUUCA
rnacentral:tRNA from 1 species